GGCAGGGUGAGGGUUGCUGUGUGUCUUUUCCCUUCCUGUGUCUCCUUUGUCCACCAAAGUAACUCAAAUCCUCUAAGUUAACUACCUAUUGGUAGUAAGAGUGCCUCUAGUUUAUGUUAACCUUUCAACCUCUCAUCUUAGAGUUUGCUUUUUGCUAGUUAAUUCCAUGGGCUUCCCAGGGGGUUCAAUGGUAAAGAAUCCGCCUGCCAGUGCAGGAGCUGUGGGAGACAGGGGUUCGAACCCUGGUUUGGGAAGAUCCCUGGAGUAGGAAAUGGCAACCCACUCCAAUAUUCUUGUCUGGGAAAUCNNNNNNNNNNNNNNNNNNNNGCUAUAGUCCAUGGGGUCACAAAGAGUCAGACAUGACUGAGUGACUGAACAUGCCUAUAGUUAAUUCCUUGCAUACCUGGUUCUCACACACUUGUACACGUGAGGACCUAUGUGUCCUGUUGUGAUCCCCUGCCUAUCAAACACCCACAGGCUGGGCCCACCCAGGUUCCUCUGGAGUGGCUUGGCAACUCAGUGAGUCACGGUCAAGGGGAUGGUGAGGCCCCUGGCUCCACCUCGGUGUUCCAUAACUAGGAAGAGAAAGGGUUUGAUCAGAAGGGAACGAAGAGAAGCAAGAAGCAAAUGUAGUAUAAUGGAUAUGGUGUGCAGCAAGAUAAGGACAUAUUCUCAACAGGGUAGCUGGGCCUUGCUUAUUUAAGUUAUACGCAGAGUACAUCAUGAGAAAUGCUGGACUGGAAGAAACACAAGC
ensembl:lncRNA